rnacentral:rRNA from 1 species
AUUGAACGCUGGCGGCAUGCCUUACACAUGCAAGUCGAACGGCAGCACGGGGGCAACCCUGGUGGCGAGUGGCGAACGGGUGAGUAAUGCAUCGGAACGUGCCCAGUAGUGGGGGAUAACUAGUCGAAAGAUUAGCUAAUACCGCAUACGACCUAUGGGUGGAAAGCGGGGGAUCGCAAGACCUCGCGCUAUCGGAGCGGCCGAUGUCUGAUUAGCUAGUUGGCGGGGUAAAAGCCCACCAAGGCUUCGAUCAGUAGCUGGUCUGAGAGGACGACCAGCCACACUGGGACUGAGACACGGCCCAGACUCCUACGGGAGGCAGCAGGUGGGGUAAUUUUGGACAAUGGGCGCAAGCCUGAUCCAGCCAUGCCGCGUGCGGGAAGAAGGCCU